AUUCCAAAAUUGAUUUCUCCCGUUGGCCACCAAUUGGAUUUUAGGUCCCCCGCGGGAUUUUGGCAAACUCCAAUUGGAGAAUUUUCCAUAUGAGAAGAAACGGGGGAAAAAAUCAGCAAUUGAAAAAAAAAUCAAAUAUUACAAUUUGGAACAAGAAAUUACAUUUCUAUUUAUGUUUGCAGUACUAGAUUAUUAAACAUAAUUAAAUUCUAAUAAAUUAUCAAAAAAAUUGAUCUUGUAAAAACGGUUCUCCAAUUGGGGAAAAUUCCAAUUGGAGAAUUCCACAGUCAAGUUCUAUUGAUAAAAGCCACCAAUUGGAGAUCACAGAAGUUGGUGAUCACAGAAGUUGGAGGAAUAACCAGUUGGAGAUUUCCACUGUAUAACAUCUGCUGAGGAGAAAUAAAGUUGUAUAUACAUGUCAUGAUAUUAUUGCUCAUUAAUUUAAUAUUGUAGAUUUAAUUCAAGAAAAUAUCAAUGCAAGUGUCUAUUUAGACAAAUCGAGAUUUUCUGACUUUGUAAAAGUGCCGUAAUUCAUAGUUAUUUAUGCUAGAUAGUUGGUAUGAGUGACCCCUUUGAUGAAUCUGAAGAAAAACAUAUAUAUUUUGGAUUAUUUUAGGUAAAAUUUCACUAAUUUUUUUAGAGGUCAAAAUUCAGCACAUUCCCUUCAAGUCUCUGUGCAUUUUUCAUGCUAAAGGGUAAAUGAUGUCGCCAUUUCCUGUAUGUAUUUAAAUAAGAUAUGUUUCCACAAUUAAUAUUUUUAGGGACUAUUUCUCAAUGUAAUGAAAUAGGUUAAAUUUGUACAGCGUUAUAUGAGCUUAAUAUGUGUUUUCUGUUUCCUUAAAAUUGAUGAAAAAUUGUCAGAAGGUAAUGAGACCAGUAUCCAUUACUGCAAUCAUACAAUAAAAAAUACAGGGACAAGCCCACUUCUCAUAUAAUAUGAAUAAACCCUGUUUAGGGGCAUGAGACAAACAGAGUUACUUUCAAAUGUUUAAGAUGCACUCUCACACUUGGGGAUGUUUUGACAACUUUUUUUCAUUUUUAGCUCUAAAGGCCAGAAGAGCUUAUGCGAUGGUAAUGUGUACGUAGUAUGUGCAUCCGUGCGUUUGUAAACAAUCCUCGUUAACAUGAUACAGCCUUCAGUUUUGAUUGUAUCUUGAUUGUAUCUUGAUGAAACCUGUACAGUAUCUACAUAUCCAUAUGAGCUCGGUUCCUUUCGAAAACCAGCCAGAUCCGCCUAUGCAUGCCAAGAUUAUGGGCCUUGAUAAUAAAAAAAAUAGUGUGUCGGUAAACAAUUGCUCGGUAACACGAUACAGUCUUCAGUUAUGAUUGUAUCUUGAUGAAACUUGUCCAGUAUAUCAAUCAGAGCUCAGUUCCUUUCAAAAACCUGAUCUGCCCAUGUUUCCUGGAUUAUUGGCCUUGAAAUUAUUAGAUGAUGGGCCUUGAUAGUAUAAAAAAUGCUUUUUUGUAAUAAAUGCUUGCGAAUAUGAUACAGUCUUCAGUUUUGAGUAUUCAGAUACCCAUAAGUGGUUGGUUCUUUUCGAAAACAGUGAUGUUGACCACACAAACCCAGCCAGUAGAGCAUAGGCCCUUUUGGGCCUCUUGUUUGUUUUGGAUUGGUACCAUCCAAUCGUUGCGAAAAAUGCAUGGAAACCAAUAGUAUAAGACUACUGACAAAAAAAUUAAUCGCAGACUUUUCUAUUUAAGUUAAAACAUUGAUGUUUUAUGCACUUCUUAAACCAUUAGUAACAUUAAUCAUGAAAUCUGGGAUUUGAUGUUUUGUCAGCAAUCUUUUACCUUUGGUUUGCUGAUAUUUACGCAAAAAUUUGCUCAUUCCAAGACAAAACAAAAGUUGUUAAAACUGUAUAUCUGUGAGAAUGUAGCUCUAAAUGUUUUGGCAAACAUGUUUAGACUGUCGGCUGCAAUCGACAGUCUUUAGAGAGCGGUAUUUCAGAAACGCGACUAGUCGCCUGACACGACAUAUUGAACAUGAAUAUAUUAAUACACACCACCUGCGUAGCAACAGAACUACUUACGUGAAUGUGGGGCGUCAAGUACCUGCUUAUGUGUAUUUAACGCGUUAUUGUCUUUUUUAUGACAAACAUUGCGUGCUACUCUUAGUAUAGUUGUACCGUUGCAAUUUGGUGAGUUUUAUUGAACAAAAUAAUGAAAAAUAAUGAAAGUAUAGCAUUUACAUACAAAGUCAUUUUACCCUACAUCCAAUAGUAAAAUACACCACAUGUUUGCACCCCGUGUGACGUCACACAUAUCCCGGCAUAAAAGACUGACCCGGCAAACCCCGGCAAAGAACUUAUUUUAUGAAUGAAAGUUAUUAAGAAAUAAAUCAUACGCGGUUAAAGAGUUCAUGUCAUGUAAUAUUUUGUGAAAUAGCUUUUAUGUUUCAAAUGAUUUUUUCAGCAGCAAUCGAACUACUGUAUUUGUUUGAGUAAAUUAUAUGGAUUAUACCUAUCACAGUGUGUCAACGUUAUGCCUAUUGUUAUUUUGGACUAUAGCCAAGUAUAGGAUGUAGUUUUUAAAGUCAUACACAAUAUGGCGGCGAUUAUGCGAAAAUGAAAUUGAAUGUUACUUCGAACACGUUCUUCUACAAAAUAACCGACCUGUAUUUAGUGCUAUUGCUUUAACAUCAAUCGAAGCAAAAAUGGCAUCAAUGUAUGCGUCUAAAAAUGUUAAAUUUAGAUGGAGACAAUCCAGAAAUGAGCUGCCAGGAAGUGAUCGAUUUCGGACACGAAGAUUGAGAAGUGCCUGGAUACAAGGCUAGUAUUGUUAACAUCAUCUGAUACAAUCAACUGGAACAAAGCUGAAAUGGCUGCCUGACCUGACUUAAAAAUUGGAUGGCAGUACAUCAGACUAGAAUAUUACAAGUAUUGAGGUGGACAAAAUGAAAGCUGACAGAUUGCACAAGAAACACAUAAAUGCAGAUUGGAAGAUUCAUUCUCUGGAAAGUAGAAAAGGGCAUGUUACAUACUGUUAUCACUGCCAUGACAGAAACCAUAUUGAGGAGCUGGUCCACCUGUAGGAAGAAUUGCGCUAUUGGUUGGAGCAGCACUAUUACCCAG